AUAACGACCAUGAUCGGGAGUAGUAAAAGGGUAGUUGUCUUCAGAGAGCUGUGGAAUUGGUGUAACACAGUGGCAGCCCCUUCGAAUCUCGCCCGGGAGUCAAGUCCGUGGAAAUUCAGCAGAAGUGUACACGGACUCGGAUAUCCACCGUUAUAGGGAUCUCUAUAUGAGUGGUUACACACAACCAGCAUAUAGAACAAAGUGGGGUGCUAACAUGAUUAAUCAUGUUAUUAUAUAGCGCCAACAAGAGUGGUACCGCGGAGGGUGAAAGCCUGUCGUCUCUUAA
rnacentral:ncRNA from 1 species